rnacentral:lncRNA from 1 species
GAAUGCAGUGAACUUGUCGUGAUACCCAGAUGAAGAUGAACCCAGAAAGUACAAAUUACCUUACUGUCUCUCUACACGAGAAAGAACACAAGCACAGUCGAACUUGGUAGAAUUAAUGAAGAAGAUGCAAACAAAUAAUUCCAAGCCAAAAUAUUCUAUUCGAUCGGAAGUAAUUAACUGCCGACAACAGAUUUUUGGUACCACAAAAGGG